GGCCUUUUGAAUGCUAAUUUCUCUUCUCCCAACCCCUUAUCAUAUCAUCUUUAAUGUUAUUUCUUCUUCCAAUUCAUAUGCAAUGGAAUCGUCAUUCCUAUUUUCAGGUAAUUUGUUUCUUUUUCUGUUAUUCUUCGUCUAAUAUAUUCUAUGAUUUAGUUCUAAUUCAAAGUGUUUCUAAAUUGAUAAGGUGACAAAAUUCGAACUUCAGUGGUUGCAGAAGGUGGAAUUGAUCUGAUAACAGUCUAUUCCUAUUCAUUUAUUUCUUUCCAAGAGAUUGUUGGGGAAAUUGACAUGAACUACUUGAUUGGUAACAUCAUUUU
rnacentral:lncRNA from 1 species